AGUAGCAAAUUCAGUGGUGAGCUACCUGCCAUAAGCAGGUUUCCUUAUAUUUGAACUCUUAGCUGUUGAGUGGCACAGGCAGGAAUGUUUAUGUAAUAGAGUUAUUCGUAUUGGGCUGAGAAAACUUCCAGUUGUUUGAACUGCUUUCUGGGAAGAGAGAAAAGGAAGGGGAGGGAAGUCCCUGUUGGCUAGACACUGAUUGAACAAGAGAAAAAGCACGAUUCUAGGACCUCAGGAGUUCUGUAUUCCAACUAAGGUACAAUAAAAAAGACAAGUUUCUAAAAAUAAUUCUGCUCUUUUAGUCUAGUUUAGUUACUUAGAGAUGAGGAACUGGAAUAAAUGAGAAGAACAAACUGGGGACAAAGUAGACAGCAAAGAAUAGACAGUUCAGAAAGAAGGAAACAUUUGCUCUUGUUUCCUUGCAGGGCUUCCACCUGGAGUCUCUAUGCUUUUUCACCUUCUGAUUGGUUGGACUGUAGUUAAAUGGUGGUGCCUACCUUAACCCCUGAAUCAAGCAUUGAAAGACUUUCAAGAUGCGCUUUUGCAAGAGUUUUUGAGGAAACUGUAAUGCUGGCUGUACUGACCUGAAGAAGGUGGUGUGACUGGAUCUGAAAGGUGGACACUGUUCCCUCCGGACAGCUGCCAAAGCAAGACCAUAAAGCAAAGUGAAAUGAAAGUUCUAUUCAGGGAAAGCUAAGACAUUUUGGUGUGAACUAUGUUGCCUUCUGCUCUAAGGUUUCAAGUGGUGGCUUUAAAGUUUAAAGGGACCAGCAUUGCUCUGUGACUCUGUGCUGGAAGCUGAGCUCACCACACCUCUCUCUUGGGUUACAGGGUACACUUACUACCAUACCCGGAGCAACUAGGAGAUUGUCCAGUCAGCCACUGCUGAAAAUGGAGGUGGUGUUAAUUUUGAAAACGAUCCAUGCUGUAAUGUCAUGAACCAGGAAGCUGGAAUCCUUCACCAGCUCUUCAUGCAAAUAUUUGGCUGCAGCUUGAGCUGAAGGACUUGGAAGGAGUGAGUUUUAAAAACUCAUUGUAGAGUUUUCAUUAACCCCACUUCUCCCUGAGAAUGGUCUGUUUGUCUGCCUCCUGUCUUAUCUCCCUAAGGUAUAUUUACAAUAUCCUAUUUGAUAUUAUCUUUCUAGUUAGGGUUCAUGUUCUACUGUGGUCCAAGAAUACAAAGAAAGGUACCACUCUCUUAGAUUUCAAGCAGCACAAAAAUCCACAUACUACAAUUUAAAAAAAUGCAUCAAGGCUGUUAAAAAAUUAAUGGUUAAAAAAGGAUAAAUUAUAUCUUUUGAUAAGUACUAACUCAAGUUUCCCUUUAUACUAAAGGUAAGAGGUGUGUGUGUGUGUGUGUGUGUGUGUGUGUAUGGCUCUUUGCAAAUUCAUCUGGCCUGGCCGAAAUAAGUUUGGUGAAUCAAAUUUACAAAUCCUGCAUGCACUCAUUUCUCCUGGCCCUGAUAUUUGUCUCAGUCGAUAACUUCCAUUCACAAUUGCCUUCUUAAAAUUUCAAAUUGUGGAUACUACUCUGAUUUUAUAACAAAUUAAUUUUUUCCUGCUUUGUGGAUUUUAUAAAAUUAACUCUCUCCUUGGCUGAAAACUUCCUAGAGGUAUCCUUUAACCACUGAACAACUUAGAGAUCAUUUCUGUUGGACCAGAGGAGUCUACACCAAGAAGCAGGCAGACAUUAUGCCCUGGUAUCUGCCAUCCUUGCCAAAUGACCAUACCUUCACAGCUUUCCUGGAAUCCCAGAUCCUUCUGCUGGUUCCCACAGAAGAACUGUACAGCUAGCUCUUGUAAUUAAAUCAUCUGUGUGCUACUCCUCCUGCCUUCGAGGACACAGGCAGAUAUACUAUACAAGGAACCUGUCUGCAAAGCACUGGUUCAGAAGUAUUGCCUAAUAAUUUCUCAAGGGGGAGAUUGAGACACACUUAGAUAAGCCAAACCUCUCCAGGGAACAGAUACUGAUCAGAUACACAAGUGAAAUAUUUAACCCUUCCUGCAGUUAGCUAGCAGGGGAAUAGUAACCAAAUCAACCUGUAAGAGACCAACAGCAAUAAAAUCACCAAGCCCAGUGGGACUUCUCCAGGGGCAGCUGAAGCAGAAUUGUACCUUGUACUAAAUCUCCAUAAUGAAAGAUUACAUUUUGUUAUGAACAUCUUGAUGAUUUUUUUUUUGCUCCAGAAGCAUUUCCCAGUUCCCUUGUUCCUGGUUUUAUUAAUUUUAUAAUUAUCUGUGAAUUGAAGGGGUUAACAGACUCUUGCUCAGCACAGUUGGAUUGGCAGAAAGAUGCAUUUAGGGAGCUGAUAGGUGGGAAGUUUUUUUUUUAAUUAAGAAUAAUAAGACCUUGAUUUUACUUUAAGCUUGACCAUCAGUAACUGCAAGACUUUGAACUGCAGCUGUAAUAGAGGCAUACAGAUCCCUGAUCUACUUACCUCCCCUGCUUAUUAUAAGAACUAAAUGAAAAAAAUGCGUGUGCAAAAAAUG